UGCUUCUUUGUUCCGGCUCUGUAAAAUCACAUAAAUUUAAAUUUGCAUUUUAUACCUAGAUUAUUCUUCUCUAAAAACCACAAUGACUUUAAGGACUUCAAAUAGAAAAUAGAAUAAAAUUUCUAAGUCACUAUUACAAUCCUUUUAAAAACAUUUUUGAUUGAUUACAAAUCCAAUGAUUGAGGUGCAGCAAGAAAGGCAAGGACGCUUUUUAUCCAUUGGUCAAUAACCUUCAGAAUGAAUGAUUAUUUGAGUGUUUUAUUUGUGUAAGUAUAUUCUAAACUUUCUCCGCCACGUUGACAUCGUUCAAGUAUUAAGUGAAACUGGGCCGGAUGGAUGGCUGUAUGAAUCACCUGUAAAUAUCUAUUGUUGUUUGAUGAGACCUUAUAGCCGUAAUUGUUUAAUUUGGGAUAAAUUCUCCAACUUUGUGCACCAAGUAAAAUAGUAAUGGAGAAAACUUAUGAGGUGCAUCUUGUAAGGCUAUAGAACGGUGUUUUUUUGGGGCUUCAAUUGGAAACAAUUUCUAAUAUUCUGCAAUUUUUAUUUUUUAACUGCUAUCAUGGCAAAAUA